rnacentral:rRNA from 1 species
UACGAAGGGGACUAGCGUUGUUCGGAUUUACUGGGCGUAAAGCGCGCGUAGGCGGAUCGCUAAGUCAGGGGUGAAAUCCUGGAGCUCAACUCCAGAACUGCCUUUGAUACUGAAGAUCUUGAGUUCGGGAGAGGUGAGUGGAACUGCGAGUGUAGAGGUGAAAUUCGUAGAUAUUCGCAAGAACACCAGUGGCGAAGGCGGCUCACUGGCCCGAUACUGACGCUGAGGCACGAAAGCGUGGGGAGCAAACAGG